rnacentral:rRNA from 1 species
UACGUAGGGGCAAGCGUUGUCCGGAAUCAUUGGGCGUAAAGAGCGCGUAGGCGGUCCGGUAAGUCGGUUGUGAAAACUGGGGGCUCAACCCUCAGAGGCCGACCGAUACUGUCGGGCUAGAGUCCGGAAGAGGCGAGUGGAAUCCUGGUGUAGCGGUGAAAUGCGCAGAUAUCAGGAGGAACACCAAUGGCGAAGGCAGCUCGCUGGGACGGUACUGACGCUGAGGCGCGAAAGCGUGGGGAGCAAACAGG